rnacentral:rRNA from 1 species
CCCCUAGAUGUUCUGGGCCGCACGCGCGCUACACUGAACAGUUCAACAAGUCUUAACCUUGGCCGAUAGGUCUGGGUAAUCUUUGAACGCUGUUCGUGAUUGGGAUAGACCUUUGCAAUUAUGGGUCUUCAACGAGGAAUUCCUAGUAAACGCAAGUCAUCAGCUUGCAUUGAUUACGUCCCUGCCCUUUGUACACACCACCCGUCGCACCUACCGAUUGAAUGGUCCGGUGAAAUCUCGGGACGGCGGCUUGGUCGCUUGCGUCCGACUGCUGAAACUUGAUUAAACCAUAUCAUUUAGAGGAAGGUGAAGUCGUAACA